CCCAACUAUCCCUAUUAAUCAUUACGGUGAUCCUAGAAACCAACAAAAUAGAACCAGUCCGUCCUAUUUCAUUAUUCCAUGCUAAUGUAUUCAGACGAUAGCCUGCUUUAAACACUCUAAUUUUUUCAAAGUAACAGUCCUGAUUUCCCAUCACACCAACUAAAUGGCAUGAAAGUUCCUCAGAAGGUAGAGAUUCAUCUCACCGGUACAGACAGUUAAGCCUGACCAAUGGGUGAACCCCGAAGUUCAACUACGAGCUUUUUAACUGCAACAACUUUAAUAUACGCUAUUGGAGCUGGAAUUACCGCGGCUGCUGGCACCAGACUUGCCCUCCAA
rnacentral:misc_RNA from 1 species